AUUCAUCCUGGGAGGCAUCCGGCUGCACCUCGGCUCCUUGCUUCCUCCGCCUCCCCAUCUCUUUUAAGCAGGUUAGAAACAAAUCAAAAGACUCAUCCUUCAGAAAUCUAGACACGAGGGAAACAGUGCAAAGCUAGUCUAACCUGGCCUUAGGAUUUGUUCUGCUCAGAGCACCACCAGGCCUACUUCAUCUGUCUGCUAUGUUCUUCAUUCUGUGCAAUAUCAAAACGGAGAAAUAUCCAUCACAUGCAGCUAAACAAGAACUGCCCUCAAGAUAAGCAAGAUUAAAACAAUUACAACUCACCCAGCUCACGGACGCUGAGUAACUGACCCCUGUUGCACCAGCCGUAACUACAGCUUUGAUUGGAUGGGAGACUGACUCCAGUAACUUUCUCCUGAUAAGAGACCACCGGCCAUGGACUGGU
rnacentral:lncRNA from 1 species